rfam:Schistosoma mattheei strain Denwood, Zambia genome assembly, scaffold: SMTD_scaffold0003494
GCACUGCUGAGGAGUCCCACAAUAGGACAAAACGGCCGUCCAUUGC